UUAUAUUAUUUUAGUAUGAAUUUAAUUAUUAAAUUUUGGUUUAUAUAAAAAUAUUUUUAAAAUAUAAUAUUUAAUAAGUAAUAUUUAUAAUUGAUAAAUUAAUUAAUUUUAGAAUUAGAAAUUUUUAAAGAUUUAAAUAAAUUAUUGUGCCAGCAAUUGCGGUUAAACAAUUUGAAGUAAAUUAAAUUUUUAUAAUUAUAAUAAAUGAAAUUUUAAAAUAAUUAAUAUAUUUAAAAUUUUUGGUGAAAUAAAAUUUUAUAAAUUUAUUUUUUUUGUUUUAUAUAAAAAUAAAAAUUUAAACUAGGAUUAGAUACCCUAUUAUUUUUAUUUUUUAUUAAAUUUGAUUGAGUAUUAAAUGUAAAAUCAUUAAAUUUAAUUAAUAUGGGGGUGUUUUAAAUUAUUAGGGGAACUUGAAAUUUAAUUUGAUAAUCCACGAUUAAAUAUACUUUAUUUAAUAAAAUAUUUUGUAUGUUUGUUUAAUAAUUUAGUUUCAUAAAAUUAUUUAUUGUAUAUAUAUAUAUAUAUAUAUAUAUAUAUAUUAAAAUUCAAAUCAAUAUUUAUUUAUAAUAAAGGUUACAAUUUGAGUUACAUUAAAUUUAAUUUAUGGAUUUUAUUAGGUAAUUAAUUUAAUGAAAUUGAAUUUAAAAUUAAAUUUAAUAAAGUAGUUAAAUUGAAUAAAAAUUAAAUUAUCUACAAACUGCCCGUCACUCUUUUUAAUAAAAGAUAAGUCGUAACAAGGUAAUUAUAUUGGAAAAUAUAAUUAGAUUUAA
rnacentral:rRNA from 1 species